rnacentral:rRNA from 1 species
AGAGUUUGAUCCUGGCUCAGAUUGAACGCUGGCGGCAUGCCUUACACAUGCAAGUCGAACGGUAACGCGGGGGCGACCCUGGCGACGAGUGGCGAACGGGUGAGUAAUACAUCGGAACAUAUCCAGUAGCGGGGGAUAACCUAUCGAAAGAUGGACUAAUACCGCAUACGAUCUACGGAUGAAAGCAGGGGACCGCAAGGCCUUGCACUAUUGGAGUGGCCGAUGUCGGAUUAGCUAGUUGGUGGGGUAAAAGCUUACCAAGGCGACGAUCCGUAGCUGGUCUGAGAGGACGAUCAGCCACACUGGAACUGAGACACGGUCCAGACUCCUACGGGAGGCAGCAGUGGGGAAUUUUGGACAAUGGGCGCAAGCCUGAUCCAGCCAUGCCGCGUGAGUGAAGAAGGCCUUCGGGUUGUAAAGCUCUUUCGGUGAAGACGAAACGUUUCAUGCUAAUAACGUGAACUAAUGACGGUACUCACAGAAGAAGCACCGGCUAACUACGUGCCAGCAGCCGCGGUAAUACGUAGGGUGCAGGCGUUAAUCGGAAUUACUGGGCGUAAAGCGUGCGCAGGCGGUUUGCUAAGACAGGUGUGAAAUCCCCGGGCUUAACCUGGGAAUUGCGCUUGUAACUGGCAAGCUAGAGUGGCAGAGGGGGGUGGAAUUCCACGUGUAGCAGUGAAAUGCGUAGAUAUGUGGAGGAACACCGAUGGCGAAGGCAGCCCCCUGGGUUAACACUGACGCUCAUGCACGAAAGCGUGGGGAGCAAACAGGAUUAGAUACCCUGGUAGUCCACGCCCUAAACUAUGUCAACUAGUUGUCGGGGAAGAAAUUCCUUGGUAACGAAGCUAACGCGUGAAGUUGACCGCCUGGGGAGUACGGCCGCAAGGUUAAAACUCAAAGGAAUUGACGGGGACCCGCACAAGCGGUGGAUUAUGUGGAUUAAUUCGAUGCAACGCGAAAAACCUUACCUACCCUUGACAUGCUAGGAAGCCCGCAGAGAUGUGGGUGUGCCCGAAAGGGAACCUAGACACAGGUGCUGCAUGGCUGUCGUCAGCUCGUGUCGUGAGAUGUUGGGUUAAUCCCGCAACGAGCGCAACCCUUGCCAUUAGUUGCUACAUUCAGUUGGGCACUCUAAUGGGACCGCCGGUGACAAACCGGAGGAAGGUGGGGAUGACGUCAAGUCCUCAUGGCCCUUAUGGGUAGGGCUUCACACGUAAUACAAUGGUCGGUACAGAGGGCUGCCAACCCGCAAGGGGGAGCUAAUCCCAGAAAGCCGAUCGUAGUCCGGAUUGUAGUCUGCAACUCGACUGCAUGAAGCCGGAAUCGCUAGUAAUCGCGGAUCAGCAUGUCGCGGUGAGUACGUUCCCGGGUCUUGUACACACCGCCCGUCACACCAUGGGAGUGGGUUCCACCAGAAGUAGUUAGCCUAACCGCAAGGAGGGCGAUUACCACGGUGAGAUUCAUGACUGGGGUGAAGUCGUAACAAGGUA